UUAAGCCAUGCAUGUCUAAGUAUAAGCAAUUAUACCGCGAAACUGCGAAUGGCUCAUUUUAUAAGUUAUCGUUUAUUUGAUAGCACAUUACUACAUGGAUAACUGUGGUAAUUCUAGAGCUAAUACAUGCUAAAAAUCCCGACUUCGGAAGGGAUGUAUUUAUUAGAUUAAAAGCCAACGCCCUUCGGGGCUUCCUGGUGAUUCAUAAUAACUUUUCGAAUCGCAUGGCCUUGCGCCGGCGAUGGUUCAUUCAAAUUUCUUCCCUAUCAACUUUCGAUGCGAAGGUAUUGUCUUCGC
rnacentral:rRNA from 1 species